AGAGGGGGGAGGGGGCAUUGUGGCAAGGGCAGUGGAGUGACUCAGGUCUUAUAUUCACACCUCAGCCAUUUCCGUCUCCUCCAAGCCACAGUCUUCAGUGAGAGGAAGCUAGGGUUUGUGGUUCCUGAUUUAUCUGGGGAGAUGCAGUAGGAAUGAGGAUAAGGCUAGUGGAAGUUCUGGCUUCCCACUUCCAACCCAUUAGCCCUUCUCUGAGGGGAUGAAAAGCCCGGAUUGGUGUCUCCAAUGACCGUGUCCUCCUCACUUGUGGUUAUUCUUGUAUGGUGGUUAUUUCUCACUCACGGCUUUCUGUGAGUUCUUUAAGAACAGAGGCUGCAGAAUUUCUAGAACCUUUUUCUCAUUGGUUGAGUGAUCUAGGAAGAACACCGUAGGGGGGCUUAUUGCAAACAGCAAUCUUAAUGACUGGUGGUUGAAAAGAGCUGGUAGAAGUGGGCACAGGCUGCUAGAAGCCAUAACAGAGGACUGGGCUUGAUGAAGAAUGAUCAGGAUGCUCCCCCACCACCAACAGGAAGUUCCAGUUCAAAACCAGUGCUUCCAGGAUUCUUCCGAACUCUCCUUUUCUCACUCCCCGAAGACUGGAAAGACCAAAGACGAAAACAGGACCCGGAAGUGGGAGGAGACUUCUAACCACGUGAUGGGAGACGCACUGGUACUGACACGUGACCCUCCAACCUGCUAUUCUACCUUGGGGAGAGAUCAGCUGCUCUUAAAGCCAACUCGGAACACACGCUGACUCUGGGCCCUUUGGUGGACCCGAACUCGAUGCUAUGGAGAGCUGUGCGGGCUCGUGGAGGCGCCUUGAGCAUUCCCAGAGUGAGNAGGAGACCGACCCGGAGCCCCAAGCCCCUCCGUUGGAUAGCCAGAGUGCCCAAUGGAAGAACGCGAUGGGCUUCUGGAUCCUGGGCCUUUGCAACAACUUCUCAUAUGUGGUGAUGCUGAGUGCUGCCCAUGACAUCCUCAAGUACAAGCAGGCAUCUGGGAACCAGAGCCAUGUGGAGCCAAGCCCAACACCCAUGACCCACAACAGUUCAUCUCGAUUUGACUGCAACUCCAUCUCCACAGCUGCAGUGCUCCUGGCAGACAUCCUUCCCACCCUCGUCAUCAAACUCCUGGCUCCUUUUGGCCUUCAUUUGCUGCCCUACAGUCCCCGGGUCCUUGUCACUGGAGUUUUUUCUGCUGGAAGCUUUAUCCUGGUUGCCUUUUCUCACUCAGUGUGGUUAAGCCUGAGUGGAGUGGUUUUGGCCAGCAUCUCAUCAGGUCUAGGAGAGGUCACCUUCCUCUCACUCACCGCCUUCUACCCCAGUGCUAUGAUCUCCUGGUGGUCCUCGGGUACUGGGGGUGCAGGGCUUCUUGGAUCGGUGUCUUACUUGGGACUCAUCCAGGCUGGCCUUUCCCCUCAGCACACCCUGCUUUCUAUGUUGGUGGUCCCUGUUCUGCUGCUGGCCAGCUAUUUCUUGUUGCUCACAUCUCCUGAACCCCAGGACCCUGGAGGGAAGGAUGAAGCAGAGACUGCUGCCCGGCAGCCACUCAUAGGCACUGAGACCCCAGAGUCAAAGCCAGAUUCCAGCUGGGAUCUCCCGUUCCAGGAAAGGUGGACAGUGUUCAAGGGCCUGUUGCACUAUAUCAUCCCCUUGGUGCUGGUCUACUUUGCUGAGUAUUUCAUCAACCAGGGACUUUUUGAGCUCCUCUUUUUCCGGAACACAUCCCUGAGUCAUUCUCAGCAGUACCGAUGGUACCAAAUGCUAUACCAGACUGGUGUGUUUGUCUCCCGCUCUUCUCUCUACUGUUGCCGAAUCCGUUUCAUCUGGGUCCUAGCCCUGCUGCAGCCGUUUCCUUCCCCAGGGUCUCCUAUAACUGGCCUCUUUGGGACACGCUACCUCCAUGCUGUGCUGUUGCCCAAUCUGAAGCCUCUGCUUGCCACUGCCCACAGUGCCUCAACCUUGCUGUCCUACUGGCAGACGUAUUUCUGAGCUUCCUGCCCAGCAUCUACCUCAUCUUUGCCAUCGUCCUGUAUGAAGGGUUCCUGGGUGGAGCUGCCUAUGUGAAUACCUACCACAACGUUGCUCUUGAGACCAGUGACAAGCACCGAGAAUUUGCCAUGGAGGCUGCCUGUAUCUCUGACACCUUGGGAAUCUCCAUGUCAGGGUUCCUGGCCUUGCCUCUGCAUGACUUCCUCUGCCGUUUCCCUUGACACGGGCUGCUCAGGACACACUGACCUGCAGGCAGAGGAGUUCCCAUCUGUGAGCUACAGACCUUCCUAGCUAGGCUGGAGAGUGAGAAGAGCUACAGGCCUGCCCUGCUUCAGCAAGGAGCCUCCAUUGUUUCCCACUCCUGAGCUGGUCUCUGGAAGUUUUCCCUCAGCCUUAUGCUCUUCUAAUAAAUGCUUUUUUUAUUAAUUUA